rfam:Xiphophorus maculatus strain JP 163 A Contig193.30, whole genome shotgun sequence.
AUUUUUCGAAAGAAAAAAAAUCUGUUCUUAUCAGUUUAAUAUCUGAUAGUCCCUUACAUGGGGACCACAUAUUAAGUUGAUUUUUGGGACAGGGAGCUGGAUUAGGGGCUUGCUCCGUCCACUCCAAGCAUCAACCUGGUAUUGCAGUACAUCUGGGAAUGGUGCAUCCUCC